AACUGGAAGAUGAUCAGGAAAGACGGGGUGUUGUCCCAUCUUUGCUCUUAGACUGGCGUCCAUUCCUGUAAAGAAGCAGGUGCCUCUGUGAUUAAUUCCUAAUGCAGUUUUGAUUCAGAUUUAUUGUUUGACUUGUUAAAGAUGUCAUCAAGCCUUACAGAGGAACAAAAGAGAAGAAUUGAAGAGAACCGCCAGAAGGCUUUGGCUAGGAGAGCAGAGAGGCUAGCAGCCCAGAGAGGUGGGCAGGUGGGGAUCGCUGGACCUCAGGUGAAACAACAGAGUCCAGGCAAUCAGGGAAACUUGAAGGAAGAAAACAAUCAUGUCAGGUUCAUUAGCCAGCACCAACAGAAUCCAAACAGUCCUGUGGAGCAGAAGAGCUAUCUUCAGAAAGAUUAUAAUCAUUACACUGCAAACCAACAGAUGGCUGGUUCACAUGGAGAGCAACAAAAGAAUUGUUCAGAGGACUUGGAACAAGCAAGUGGCAUUAAGCAGUUCCCUACAACGAUCCCAAAUUCUCUGAGUUAUUCCCAUAAACAUUACUUGGAUGCUGGUGGUCAGGAACAUGGACAACAAGCUUUAAUUAAUCUUCAUACAUUCCAGCAGCCCAAAUGCUACCCAGCUUUCAAAAACCCUACAGAACCAUCUCAUCCUAGAUUAAUUGAUAACGGGCACCCUGACGGUAGUAAAGAUUUACAAAGUCAGAACAAAUUUGCCAUAAAAUAUGUUUCAGCACCAAGCAGCACCACCCCGAGUGAUUCAGAAAUGCUGAUAAACACAAGCAGACCAAUGGAAAGAGAAGGGGGAGGUGGUGCCUCUCAGGCCAGUGGUAGGAUGCAGAAGCUGACCAGCUCUACUGGUGCAGGCUCUACCUUUGAAGCUGUCUCUUGCAAGAAAGCAAGUAGUGUUACAAAAGGAAGAUGUGUGAAAUAUGGGGAAGACCGAUUCCAGGUUGAAAUAGGGUAUAAUGCUGAACUCAUUGCUGUGUUUAAGAAGAUACCAAGCAAAAGCUAUGAUCCUGCUAUGAAAAAAUGGAAUUUCAGCCUGGAAGAUUAUAGCAGUUUCAUGGAAGCAGCAAACCAACUUUCGUCAGUAAUUCUGGCACCACUGGAAGGAGAAAAUGCAGUUUGCUUGGCAUCAGGCUCUCAUUUUGUUGGCAGUAGGGUUGAUGUGAAAUCCCUCUUGAAGAUGUGUCGGAACUGGAAGAAACCCUCAGCCCUCGUCAAAGGGAAGUGCGUGCUGAUCUCUCGCUUGCGGUUUGAGGUUGAUAUUGGGUAUUCUGCAGAAGUGAUUGGAGUGUUCAAACAGAUGGAGUCCAGAAAUUAUGAUAUGAACACCAGGAAGUGGAAUUUCCUGCUGCUGGACUAUCCCAAACUAAUGGAAGUGUUACAGAGCCUUGCAUCAGUAGAAGUGGAGCCACUGCCUGAGGCAGUAAUACAAACCUUUGCUGCUCAAAUACAGAGAUCUACUUCACAGACAGACAUUCCUGAUGCUGACCUUUCCGCAGUGGACUCCAAAAUUGUGAUGAGCCUCAUGCCCUUUCAGCGGGAAGGUGUGAAUUUUGCAAUUUUAAGAAAUGGACGUUUACUUCUUGCGGAUGACAUGGGCUUGGGCAAGACCAUCCAGGCGAUCUGCAUUGCUGCGUAUUACCGAAAGGAAUGGCCCUUGCUGGUGGUGACUCCUUCUUCUGUGAGGUUUACAUGGGCAGAGGCAUUUCACAGGUGGCUUCCAUCCUUGAGUCCAGGUAGCACCAAUGUCAUAGUGACUGGCAAAGACAACCUAACAGCAAGCUUGAUCAACAUCGUCAGCUUUGACCUCCUCAGCAAGAUGGACAAGCAACUUAAGAGCACUUUCCAAGUAGUUAUUAUUGAUGAAUCUCAUUUCCUAAAGAACAUAAAAACUGCGCGAUGCCGAGCUGCCAUGCCUCUACUCAAGGCUGCCAGGAGAGUGAUCUUGCUUUCGGGAACCCCUGCCAUGUCGCGGCCUGCAGAGCUCUACACGCAGAUCGCUGCUGUCCAGCCAGCCUUCUUCCCACAGUUCCACUCCUUUGGGCUACGCUACUGUGAUGCCAGGAAGAUGCCAUGGGGUUGGGACUACUCUGGAUCAUCCAACUUAACUGAACUGAAAAUUUUGCUGGAAGAGUCCAUCAUGAUCCGACGUCUGAAAUCAGAUGUGCUUUCCCAGCUUCCAGCAAAGCAACGCAAAAUGGUUGUGGUGGCUCCUGAAGGCAUUAGUGCAAAGACCAAAGCUGUCUUGGCAGCUGAAGCAAAGAAGAUGGCCAAAGGAUAUGAAAGUAAACAACAGGAGAAGGAAGCGCUUCUCCUUUUCUACAGCAGAACGGCCGAAGCUAAAAUCCACUCAGUCGUAGAAUACAUCCUGGAGUUACUGGAAAGUGGGAAUGAUAAAUUCCUGGUGUUUGCUCAUCACAAGAUAGUGCUGGAUGCAAUAGUUGCAGAGCUGGAGAAGAGACAUGUUGAAUACAUUCGCAUUGAUGGCUCCACACCUUCAGCUGAGCGGCAGUCUCUGUGCCAGAAGUUCCAGUUCUCAGAGAAGCAGGUUGUGGCCGUCCUGUCCCUCACUGCCGCAAACAUGGGCCUGACAUUGUCUGCUGCGGACCUGGUGGUGUUUGCAGAGCUCUUCUGGAACCCGGGGGUUUUGAUCCAAGCAGAAGAUCGGGCACAUCGAAUUGGACAGACCAGCUCUGUUAAUGUUCACUACCUGGUGGCUAAAGGCACAGCAGAUGACUACUUAUGGUAGGAAGUGAGAAAGACACUUUGGUUCUCCUGCCACCUGGUUUCACUGUUUGAUACAUAUGUGAUGUAAGGUGCUUAAUGUUAGUGCUGAUUUCCACAGUCGGUGAGGGGAGGAGCAAUAACUGGCAAUCAGGGCUGCUGUGAGCUGGUGACAUGGCCUGGCCACAGUGGACAUAACUAAGUGGAUGAUGAGCAGGAGGAAUAAAAGUAGUUAUCUGACAAAGAAAGGGCUGUUGAGAGAAAAUCGGAGAGAGGUGAUGCAUCUGAAACCUUCACAGCCUCUGUAUAAGGAGAAGGAAUUGUCUUAGAUACAGCCCAGAACAUUUGUGUGCUGGGGUACUGUAAAGUGCCGAGUACUUGCAAGCAAAGUCAACAGACACUGGAGAUGGUUCAAUGUAUUGUGCAUCAGGUCUGAGGAGCAAUCUGGCUGCUGAGUGCUUGGACAGGGAGCUGUGGAGGAGAACUGCACUGUUGCUUUCCUCUUGCUCUUCAGUGAGCCCUUUGGAUGGAUUAAAAAAGUGCUACUGACCCACCUCUGGAGAGUUGUGGUCUGAGCCUUUUUGGCUGCAGUGAGAGCUAUCAGUGGACACUGGUCCUUAGGGCUGGGGAAUCUGACAUCCUGGGGAAGGGGAGGAUCUGAAGAAUCCUUAGUGCUGCAAGGGAACUGACCUGCAAAUGAUGCAAAGAAAUUACCCACCAGCUGGUUCAUUUAAAGUCCAAAAUUACAUCUUUAUUACCUUGUUUAAAGGAACAAAUGAACUAAGUGAACUUGUGCAGUUCCCAGAAUAUCAUGAUGGCAAAUAAUUAUAACCCUACAAUGCAGGGAUCUGGAAACAGAUGCAUCGCCCACGUUUCAUGGAAAGUUAAUGACAGUAAUUCUGCCUUUAUUUGUGAAAUGCUGUCCGUUCAGUCAUUAAUGCUUAAUGGGAAGGAAAUAUGGCUCUUCAAAGAAGGACAGUGGCAUCCUUUUUAAAGGCGAGAAAAAGAACAAGAUGACAAGGCUAUUUGGUAAAUGCAUUUAUUGUGCUGUGGCCUUUGCUUCUUUCAAAGUGUCCAGUCUGCAGGUGCAGUUGGGACCUCUUGGGCCAGUGAUGGAUUCUUCCUCCUGCAGUACAUCGGGAGAUGACAUGCUGAUGUGUCUGUUGAUGGGGAUUACCAUUGCUUGCCUUGGAGACUGAACACAUAGGCUAUUGGGACUCCCUUUAGCUGCAUCUUCUUGUUCUGACUUCAUACCAUUGGCCAAUGAUUCAAGAGAAAAUCAAAGUGCUGGGGG